rnacentral:lncRNA from 1 species
GGGGUUAUCGCACCGUAGUGUAAUUGAGUUGGGUUACUUUAAUUUUGCUGUCGUCUUCAUCUAUAGAGUCAAAGGUUUAUCUUCCUUGUACCAGAUUUAAAGCCUCUGUUUGGAGCAGGUUCUUAUUUAAUCGCUUUUAUUUAUUUUACUUGUCUUGCUUUAAUUUAUUUAAUUUCUUGCUACGCUUUACUUUAUUUAAUUUCUGUCACGCUUUACUUUAUUUAAUUUCUGUCCACGCUUUACUUUAUUUAUUUUCUCGCCAUGCUUUACUUUAUUUAAUUUCUGUCUAUGUUUUACUUUAUUU